rnacentral:rRNA from 1 species
UACGUAGGGGGCAAGCGUUGUCCGGAAUCAUUGGGCGUAAAGCGCGCGUAGGCGGCCCGGUAAGUCCGCUGUAAAAGUCCAGGGCUCAACCCUUGAAUGCCGGCCGAUACUGUCAGGCUAGAAUCCGGAAGAGGCGAGUGGAAUUCCUGGUGUGAGCGGUGAAAUGCGCAGAUAUCAGGAGGAACACCGAUUGCGAAGGCAGCUCGCUGGGACGUUACUGACGCUGAGACGCGAAAGCGUGGGGAGCAAACAGGAUUAGAAACCCUCGG